AAAAUUAAAAGUCUAAUCUGCCCAAUGAUAUUUGAAUGGCCGCGGUAACUUGACCGUGCAAAGGUAGCAUAAUUAUUAGUCUUUUAAUUGAAGGCUUGAAUGAACGAUUGAAUGAAAAAUAAACUUUAUUAAUAAAAAUAAUUUAACUUAGUAUUUAAGUAAAAAUUCUUAAAUAAUUAAGUGGGACGAGAAGACCCUAUAGAGUUUAAAUAUUUUUAUUAUUAUAAAAUUAAAGAAUUAAUAUUAUUUUAAAUUAAUAAAAAUAUUUUUGUUGGGGUGACAUUAAAAAUUAAUUAACUUUUAAUUAAAAUAGCAUUAAUAUAUGUUUAAUUGAUCCAAUAAAUUGAUUAAAAGAUAAAAUUACCUUAGGGAUAACAGCGUAAUUAAUUUGAAGAGUUCAAAUCGAUAAAUUAGUUUGCGACCUCGAUGUUGGAUUAAGAAAAAAUUUUGGAGUAGAAUUUAAAAUUUUAGGUCUGUUCGACCUUUAGAUUCUUACG
rnacentral:rRNA from 1 species